GUUCCCUUUGACAGUACAUAUAAUAAAGUUGGAAUGAUACUGAGAUUAACAUGACCCUGUUCAAGGAUGACACCCACAUUUGUGCAGCAUCCCAUAUAUGU
rnacentral:snRNA from 1 species